UCGGGAAUUUUGGGCAAUGGGGGAAACCCUGACCCGGCAACGCCGCGUGAAGGAUGAAGUAUUUCGGUAUGUAAACUUCGAAAGAAUAGGAAGAAUAAAUGACGGUACUAUUUAUAAGGUCCGGCUAACUACGUGCCAGCAGCCGCGGUAAUACGUAGGGACCAAGCGUUGUUCGGAUUUACUGGGCGUAAAGGGCGCGUAGGCGGCAUGACAAGUCACUUGUGAAAUCUCUGGGCUUAACCCAGAACGGCCAAGUGAUACUGUCGCGCUAGAGUGCAGAAGGGGCAAUCGGAAUUCUUGGUGUAGCGGUGAAAUGCGUAGAUAUCAAGAGGAACACCUGAGGUGAAGACGGGUUGCUGGGCUGACGCUGACGCUGAGGCGCGAAAGCCAGGGGAGCAAACGGGAUUAGAUACCCGUGUAGUCCCUGAGCGGGCUGGCAAGGCGCAU
rnacentral:rRNA from 1 species